GCCUGGGUGGCUCAGUCAAUUGAGCGUCUGACUUUGGCUCAGGUCAUGAUCUCAUAGCUCCUGGGUUCAAGCCCCACAUCGGGCU
rnacentral:tRNA from 1 species